GGCUGCUUGCCUCAGGCCUGCUUUCACCUGACUCCCGGGGUCUGUGUGUUGACUCUGCGCCUCUUGCCCCCACCACGCUCCUCCUCCAAGAAACGAAUCCACUGCAACACUGUAUUAUAUAUAAUCUAGAGGUCAUUUAAAGCAUGAGAGAUUUCUACUCAAGAUUUUAGGGAACACAUAACAGCUUUUUCCAUGCCCACUAUAGAAGCCACUUUGCUUGUCAAAGGAACAUUGGGCAUAAUUCUUCAAAUUGGGGGAACAAGUAAGUUUGACUCCAAGCUGCAGGGAGAUAAUAUGAGGAUGACAAGAAAAAUGUAAACAAAGAAUGGAGAUGUUGUGCAGAGAGAGCAGCAAGAGGAGGCUGGAGUGUGAUGUUCUGAGAAAUAAUUCUGGAGAAGGAAGUGUGGACCCUUUCCUGUUGCCAGGAGACCACCUGAACCUCCAUUACUGCUACAAAGAAACUCAAGACCUCUGGACAACACAAAGCUGUGAAUGGUGUUUUACUAUUACUGUACCACAGGAUGAUAAACACUGCUUUUAUGCCAUGAGCUUGUUCUUUCUGCAAUUCAUUAAAGAAGUCUG